CCAAAUCCUCUAACUAAUGCCCAGUAACACAAACGCUGUACACGUGCGUGCGUGCGGUGUCCUCCCGAGCGAGAGCCAAGCCGCCGCCGGCUCGCUCGUCGCCGGUAGGUCGCCGCCCCCGUCGCCCCCGUCGCCCCAGCGCCCCUCCUCCCCCUUCUCCCCGACAUCAUCUCCUCCUCCGCUUCAACACCGCCUCAUCUUCCCAGCGCCGUCGUCCUCCACACCCACCCAGUUCCUCGCGCCUCUUCUCCUUUCUUCCUUGAACUGGGGUAGCCGUUGCGCGGCGACUCACGGACACGCAUCAUGGAGUGGAGCUUCAACAAUUCCGGCAUUGAUGUAGAUGAUGAACUUUGGGUGGUUAAUGUGCUGCCAAUUAAUGGUCUAGGGGAUAAUGUGCAAAGGAUAAUUGGACUGUCUGAUAUCACUUUUCUCAAGUUAGUGAGCUUGGUGUGCUCUGUUGGCUAUAACAAAAAGGAUACCAUCUAUUAUCAGUGCGGAGGAUUAGUUGGCAUGGAGCUAUUGGACAGUAAUAAGAAGGUGACAACAAUGGUAAAUCAGUACAAGAGCGUUAAGAUGUUGAAUCUGUCAGUUUUGAGGAGACCCGCACCAACCCGCGGCAAGAAAAGAACGAGGAAGCAAGCAUUGUUGAUAGAGCAGCCAACCAAAGAGGGCAUUAACGAAGUCAUAGUUGAGCAAGCAAAUGUGUUAGAGGAAAAAGUUGAGGUGACAGAGGAAGAAGAAGAGAUGGCAGUGGCAGAGGAAAAAGAAGAGAUGGCAGUGGCUGAGAAUUAUGAUGAUGAAGACUUGGAAAAUCUUGCUCGAUUAAAGAGACAGAAAGAAGAUCCUGCGGAGCACAUGGAGGGCGACACCGAUAUUGAGGACUUUUAUCCACUACUAGAUGAUACACCUGUUAUUCCUAUUGAAGAUAGCACACUUGAUUCUUGCAAUCCAUCAAAGAAGAGAGCAGAAGCAUGGCAGAAGAAGAAACUGAGGAAGGAUGCUAUUCUCGGUUCACAAGCAAAGUUGCGAGAUGUAACCAACACUCAAGCAUGUGAACUUUCAGAUCCAGGAAGUGAGGAUAUUGGAAUGGAUAUAAUAUCAAGCGAUGAUGAUGGCUUUGAACCUGCAAUAUCCGUUGCACCAAAAUGCAAGAAGAGUAGAGCACAACCACUUCCAACUAGAGUGUGGUAUGAUGAGGUUUAAGUAACUUAAGCACAUAACUAUAUGGAUGCUUAUGUUACAACACAUAUUUUAUUCCUAUACACAACAUGAUGCAUCGCUGGAUUACACUGAAGAAAAUCUGUAGCUAUUUGCUGUUGAACUCUGAAAAAAGAAAGGACAAAGGAAGCAGCCUAAACUCGUUGGGGAGGAGCUCUGUACAGGAUGGCCGACGGCGUCGACGAUGCCGCUGGGUGGACGAGCCAACGCUGACACCAAGGAAGAGGUGCUGGUGGAGGAGACGACGUCGGGAUGGACGAACCAGCGAGCUGCCAGCGACGAGCUAGCCGUCGACUCUGGCUUGGGAGGAGACGGCAUGCACGCAGAUGCAGGUGGCUGUUAGUACGGGCAUUAGUUAGAGGAUUUGGACUGUGUGUGCUGGAUUUGGGACGUGUGUUACUAGUUAGCCCAAAGGUUGUGGUUUUGUGAAAACUUCUCCAAAAGGUGGGGUAAAGUGUUAUAAGCGCCCCUGAAGUUGAUGUUCUGUGCAAUUCACUC